GACGAACGCUGGCGGCGUGCUUAACACAUGCAAGUCGAACGGAAAGGCCCUGCUUUUGUGGGGUGCUCGAGUGGCGAACGGGUGAGUAACACGUGAGUAGCCUGCCCUUGACUUUGGGAUAACUUCAGGAAACUGGGGCUAAUACCGGAUAGGAGCUCCUGCUGCAUGGUGGGGGUUGGAAAGUUUCGGCGGUUGGGGAUGGACUCGCGGCUUAUCAGCUUGUUGGUGGGGUAGUGGCUUACCAAGGCUUUGACGGGUAGCCGGCCUGAGAGGGUGACCGGCCACAUAGGGACUGAGAUACGGCCCAGACUCCUACGGGAGGCAGCAGUGGGGAAUAUUGCACAAUGGGCGGAAGCCUGAUGCAGCAACGCCGCGUGCGGGAUGACGGCCUUCGGGUUGUAAACCGCUUUCGCCUGUGACGAAGCGUGAGUGACGGUAAUGGGUAAAGAAGCACCGGCUAACUACGUG
rnacentral:rRNA from 1 species